GGCUGCGCGCGCCGCGGGUGGGCGGGGCCUGGCGGGGCAUCGGCCGGCGGGAGCCCCGCAACCCCUCACUGCCCUCGGAGCCACCGGUUCGAGUCCCGCGCCCGCGCCCCGCCCGGCUGAGGACAUGUCUUAGGAACAGAUGUCCAGCAAGAACAUGUUGGGAGGGACUGGAAAACAUUAAAGAUCCUGAGCUUUGACAUCUCCUUGUUGCACUGGAAUUGCCAGCACUGGACAAAGCCUGGUCUGCAGUGUGGGUCAAGGGUGGUGAGCAAAAAUGAGAGAAAAUUGAUUCAUUAAAAAUGUAGCUUUGGAAAGGGAGAUUCCUGC
rnacentral:lncRNA from 1 species